rnacentral:misc_RNA from 1 species
GACGAACCGUGCGAACGUUGUUCGGAAUCACUGGGCUUAAAGGGCGCGUAGGCGGCUUUUCAAGUCGGGGGUGAAAUCCCACCGCUCAACGGUGGAAGGGCCUCCGAUACUGAGAAGCUCGAGCGAGGUAGGGGCAGAGGGAACUUCUGGUGGAGCGGUGAAAUGCGUUGAUAUCAGAAGGAACGCCGGUGGCGAAAGCGCUCUGCUGGACCUCUUCUGACGCUGAGGCGCGAAAGCUAGGGGAGCAAACGGG